GGCUCAGCUCUUGCUAAAGGAUCCCUACAGGUAACCAACGGCGGUUGCCCCUCCACGACAAAGACGUCGC
rnacentral:ncRNA from 1 species